rnacentral:rRNA from 1 species
GAUGAACGCUGGCGGCGUGCCUAAUACAUGCAAGUCGAGCGAACAGAUGAGGAGCUUGCUCCUCUGACGUUAGCGGCGGACGGGUGAGUAACACGUGGAUAACCUACCUAUAAGACUGGGAUAACUUCGGGAAACCGGAGCUAAUACCGGAUAAUAUAUUGAACCGCAUGGUUCAAUAGUGAAAGACGGCUUUGCUGUCACUUAUAGAUGGAUCCGCGCCGCAUUAGCUAGUUGGUAAGGUAACGGCUUACCAAGGCAACGAUGCGUAGCCGACCUGAGAGGGCGAUCGGCCACACUGGAACUGAGACACGGUCCAGACUCCUACGGGAGGCAGCAGUAGGGAAUCUUCCGCAAUGGGCGAAAGCCUGACGGAGCAACGCCGCGUGAGUGAUGACGGUCUUCGGAUCGUAAAACUCUGUUAUUAGGGAAGAACAAAUGUGUAAGUAACUAUGCACGUCUUGACGGUACCUAAUCAGAAAGCCACGGCUAACUACGUG